rnacentral:rRNA from 1 species
AUUGAACGCUGGCGGCAGGCCUAACACAUGCAAGUCGAGCGGAUGAAGGGAGCUUGCUCCUGGAUUCAGCGGCGGACGGGUGAGUAAUGCCUAGGAAUCUGCCUGGUAGUGGGGGAUAACGUCCGGAAACGGGCGCUAAUACCGCAUACGUCCUGAGGGAGAAAGUGGGGGAUCUUCGGACCUCACGCUAUCAGAUGAGCCUAGGUCGGAUUAGCUAGUUGGUGGGGUAAAGGCCUACCAAGGCGACGAUCCGUAACUGGUCUGAGAGGAUGAUCAGUCACACUGGAACUGAGACACGGUCCAGACUCCUACGGGAGGCAGCAGUGGGGAAUAUUGGACGAUGGGCGAAAGCCUGAUCCAGCCAUGCCGCGUGUGUGAAGAAGGUCUUCGGAUUGUAAAACACUUUAAGUUGGGAGGAAGGGCAGUAAGUUAAUACCUUGCUGUUUUGACGUUACCAACAGAAUAAGCACCGGCUAACUUCGUG